rnacentral:tRNA from 1 species
GCCUAGUUAGCUUGGUAGCGCGUCCGCCUUGUAAGCGCUAGGCCGUGGGUUCGAUUCCCACACGGGGCG